rnacentral:rRNA from 1 species
ACUCAAAUGAAUUGACGGGGGCCCGCACAAGCGGUGGAGCAUGUGGUUUAAUUCGAAGCAACGCGAAGAACCUUACCAGGUCUUGACAUCCCGCUGACCGUUCUAGAGAUAGAUCUUUCCCUUCGGGGACAGCGGUGACAGGUGGUGCAUGGUUGUCGUCAGCUCGUGUCGUGAGAUGUUGGGUUAAGUCCCGCAACGAGCGCAACCCUUGAUCUUAGUUGCCAGCAUUCAGUUGGGCACUCUAAGGUGACUGCCGGUGAUAAACCGGAGGAAGGUGGGGAUGACGUCAAAUCAUCAUGCCCCUUAUGACCUGGGCUACACACGUGCUACAAUGGACGGUACAGAGGGUCGCAACCCCGCGAGGGUGAGCAAAUCCCAUAAAACCGUUCUCAGUUCGGAUUGUAGGCUGCAACUCGCCUACAUGAAGCCGGAAUCGCUAGUAAUCGUGGAUCAGCAUGCCACGGUGAAUACGUUCCCGGGCCUUGUACACACCGCCCGU